UAGUGGCGGACUGAAGAAGUAGAACGACCCCGACUUCACCGCUGUAUCAUUGAAGUGAUUCCUCCCGUUUACGUUGACUGAAUUCCUGUAGAAGGUGAGCAGCGGUGCGACUUGGAAUGAUCUGACUAUCUGUGCUUGUAACUAAAAUCGGCCACAAUAUGACGGUAAUCGGCUUGCUUCAUCUUCCUUAGAGAGAUGACAGCUUUUAACUCCAUCUUGAAGAGGAGACUCCUCCAUCAUGGCCUCAUAUGCCAUCACAGGACACUCUCCUAGUGGGAUGCUGCAGUUUAAUCUUGAUAGUGCAGAUGCAUUUGAUAGAUUUCACAAUGACUUUGUAGUAUCUAGUAGACCACAAGAUUUUAGUUCUGUUAAUCCUGAUAAUACUAAAAUAAAUGUUGACAUAGUGAAACAGUUACCCAGUACCAGGCUUCUCAAUGAAAACUUUCAAAAUGGAAAGAAACCAUUCAACAGUGAAUCUGCUCCUGUAGUGAAUAAUCACCUCAUGCCAGUUCUCAGCAGAGGGAAUAUCAGCUUGGUAGAAAAGAGGAGCAUAAAGGAGAAGAGCAGUAGAGCUGCAGGAAAAUAUAAAACAUUAGAAAGAAAGUACAGAAGAAUUACCCGUCCUAAGCGAGACUAUUGUCCAUCAACAUCCACCCCAGAAUCGACGGCCUUCACUUUUGCUUCGUUCAUCAUUCUCGUCGUUCAGGGAAUUGUCAAUGUCAUCAAUGUGAUUAAUAACAACAACAACAAUAAUAAUAAUAACAACAACAACAACAAUAAUAAUAACAAUAACAACAAUGAGAACAACAACAAUGUGAUGAUUGUCAACAACCAAGAAAAUAAUGCCCAGAUGAUGGGAGGUAAAAGGGCUCUAAGGCACAAAAGAGGAGUUGGUCGAGGUAAACAACUUGAAGAUAAAGACUUCCCCAAGCCAGUGGAUUCAUUAUCAGGUUUUCUCAUAAGCAGUUUUUUUAGUAGCAAUGACAGAAUGAAGAAAAAAACUCAGAUGAGCCCUGUAAAUAAAAGUACUGAUCCUAUUAGUUAUGCACUGACCAAAAAUAAAACAUGCAGUUGCAUCUCUAAGCAUAAUAACAUUGCAAAAUGCAGUCUGUUAAAAAUCUGUGAACUAAUUACUUCAAACGCUCGUCACCAUAAUGAUGAUUUUGCCUCAAAUCUUUUACAAUUACAAUAUAAUAUUCUUAAAGGUAAGAUUCUACACAGAAGUCCCCACUGCCAUACCAUUACUGGUUAAAAAUUAAAGUUUCAAGAUCUCUCAAGUGGCAGUUUUAUGAGGCUUUCAGCUUUGAUUCCCAAUAUAUAUAUACUUUAAGAUUCAAUGACUAUUGCAAGUUUAUAAGUCUUACCAAGAUGAAAAAUGCCAAUUGAGAGCUAGCAAUGCAUAUGGCCACUUCUACUUAAAACUUACAUUGGUGAGUGGACAGAUGGAUGAAAUAGACUAGGUACAUACAGUACGUACUCUAUUAUGAGAUAGUCAUUUUUCCAUGUCAGGAUCCUCCAACAAUUCUCACUAAGAGUAUCUUACAGGUGGAAGGAUCACACAACACAGGAGCCAUCGCCAGCAGCCUAAUCCCGGGAGGUCAGGAAGCAUAAGGCCGAAUGAAACUCCCAAAGUGACAAAGAGAAGAGAUGGCUCUCUAAUCCUCCGGGGGCCCACCCCCUGCCUAAAAGAAGGCGGAUGACACUCACUGAGCAUCAG